GGGUUGUGAGGUUAAGCGACUAAGCGUACACGGUGGAUGCCCUGGCAGUCAGAGGCGAUGAAGGACGUGCUAAUCUGCGAUAAGCGUCGGUAAGGUGAUAUGAACCGUUAUAACCGGCGAUUUCCGAAUGGGGAAACCCAGUGUGUUUCGACACACUAUCAUUAACUGAAUCCAUAGGUUAAUGAGGCGAACCGGGGGAACUGAAACAUCUAAGUACCCCGAGGAAAAGAAAUCAACCGAGAUUCCCCCAGUAGCGGCGAGCGAACGGGGAGCAGCCCAGAGCCUGAAUCAGUGUGUGUGUUAGUGGAAGCGUCUGGAAAGGCGCGCGAUACAGGGUGACAGCCCCGUACACAAAAAUGCACAUGCUGUGAGCUCGAUGAGUAGGGCGGGACACGUGGUAUCCUGUCUGAAUAUGGGGGGACCAUCCUCCAAGGCUAAAUACUCCUGACUGACCGAUAGUGAACCAGUACCGUGAGGGAAAGGCGAAAAGAACCCCGGCGAGGGGAGUGAAAAAGAACCUGAAACCGUGUACGUACAAGCAGUGGGAGCACGCUUAGGCGUGUGACUGCGUACCUUUUGUAUAAUGGGUCAGCGACUUAUAUUCUGUAGCAAGGUUAACCGAAUAGGGGAGCCGAAGGGAAACCGAGUCUUAACUGGGCGUUAAGUUGCAGGGUAUAGACCCGAAACCCGGUGAUCUAGCCAUGGGCAGGUUGAAGGUUGGGUAACACUAACUGGAGGACCGAACCGACUAAUGUUGAAAAAUUAGCGGAUGACUUGUGGCUGGGGGUGAAAGGCCAAUCAAACCGGGAGAUAGCUGGUUCUCCCCGAAAGCUAUUUAGGUAGCGCCUCGUGAAUUCAUCUCCGGGGGUAGAGCACUGUUUCGGCAAGGGGGUCAUCCCGACUUACCAACCCGAUGCAAACUGCGAAUACCGGAGAAUGUUAUCACGGGAGACACACGGCGGGUGCUAACGUCCGUCGUGAAGAGGGAAACAACCCAGACCGCCAGCUAAGGUCCCAAAGUCAUGGUUAAGUGGGAAACGAUGUGGGAAGGCCCAGACAGCCAGGAUGUUGGCUUAGAAGCAGCCAUCAUUUAAAGAAAGCGUAAUAGCUCACUGGUCGAGUCGGCCUGCGCGGAAGAUGUAACGGGGCUAAACCAUGCACCGAAGCUGCGGCAGCGACGCUGAUGCGUUGUUGGGUAGGGGAGCGUUCUGUAAGCCUGCGAAGGUGUGCUGUGAGGCAUGCUGGAGGUAUCAGAAGUGCGAAUGCUGACAUAAGUAACGAUAAAGCGGGUGAAAAGCCCGCUCGCCGGAAGACCAAGGGUUCCUGUCCAACGUUAAUCGGGGCAGGGUGAGUCGACCCCUAAGGCGAGGCCGAAAGGCGUAGUCGAUGGGAAACAGGUUAAUAUUCCUGUACUUGGUGUUACUGCGAAGGGGGGACGGAGAAGGCUAUGUUGGCCGGGCGACGGUUGUCCCGGUUUAAGCGUGUAGGCUGGUUUUCCAGGCAAAUCCGGAAAAUCAAGGCUGAGGCGUGAUGACGAGGCACUACGGUGCUGAAGCAACAAAUGCCCUGCUUCCAGGAAAAGCCUCUAAGCAUCAGGUAACAUCAAAUCGUACCCCAAACCGACACAGGUGGUCAGGUAGAGAAUACCAAGGCGCUUGAGAGAACUCGGGUGAAGGAACUAGGCAAAAUGGUGCCGUAACUUCGGGAGAAGGCACGCUGAUAUGUAGGUGAAGUCCCUUGCGGAUGGAGCUGAAAUCAGUCGAAGAUACCAGCUGGCUGCAACUGUUUAUUAAAAACACAGCACUGUGCAAACACGAAAGUGGACGUAUACGGUGUGACGCCUGCCCGGUGCCGGAAGGUUAAUUGAUGGGGUCAGCGCAAGCGAAGCUCUUGAUCGAAGCCCCGGUAAACGGCGGCCGUAACUAUAACGGUCCUAAGGUAGCGAAAUUCCUUGUCGGGUAAGUUCCGACCUGCACGAAUGGCGUAAUGAUGGCCAGGCUGUCUCCACCCGAGACUCAGUGAAAUUGAACUCGCUGUGAAGAUGCAGUGUACCCGCGGCAAGACGGAAAGACCCCGUGAACCUUUACUAUAGCUUGACACUGAACAUUGAGCCUUGAUGUGUAGGAUAGGUGGGAGGCUUUGAAGUGUGGACGCCAGUCUGCAUGG
rnacentral:rRNA from 1 species